UACGGAGGGUGCGAGCGUUGUCCGGAUUUAUUGGGUUUAAAGGGUGCGUAGGCGGCCGCAUAAGUCUGGGGUGAAAGCCCGUUGCUCAACAACGGAACUGCCCUGGAAACUGCGCGGCUUGAGUCCAGACGAGGUUGGCGGAAUGGGCGGUGUAGCGGUGAAAUGCAUAGAUACCGUCCAGAACACCGAUUGCGAAGGCAGCUGACUAGGCUGGUACUGACGCUGAGGCACGAAAGCGUGGGGAGCGAACAGG
rnacentral:rRNA from 1 species